GUGACAAAGGGAAAGCAAAUGAGCCUAAGCAAGUUUAGGCUCGAUUAGAUCCACAGGGAAAAAUCAAUGGCAUGGAAAAGAACAAAGUUACCCAGGAAGGAAGUUGUAUCAGCCAACUUACAUACAAAGGAGAACAAAAGGACAAAUCUGUGGGUUAGAAGUCUGCCUUAAUGUCAACAGAGGAAAGGUAAUGGCGGUGCAGAUCUUCCUGGUUGCUGCCGCCGCAGAGAGCACGUAGGCAGCACCCCACGAGCAAACUUGAGCCUCGGGACCACAGCUCCUGUCUUAACUGAACCGACUGUCUGUAUUCCACUCCCUGAACUCAACUGACUAAAGAGAACUGAGUCUUGAGCACUGGCAUUAAAGGUAUU